ensembl:lincRNA linc-25 ncRNA
UGUUUUUUUUUAAUUAUUUUACUGGUAUUUUAAAGCUUUUUUUAAAAUGAAAUUCUAAGAGUUGCAAUUUUGAAGCAAUUGACUGCUACAGCAGACUUUUGUAAUGGUUGAGGUAUUUCCGAUAUUCGUCGCAAUUCGCACAGAAACAAAAGCUAGCUAAUGCCGACGGCACCUUAAAGGAGUUGGAAGUAGGAAACCCUUCUCUGCAGCAAUAAUCUGCAGCUGUGCAACUGUCCAAUCUAAUUUUUUUUUCUCUCUUGAUUUCCGAAUAGAUAUGAAGAUUUAUUAAUUU